UCUCAUGCCACUCUCGUCUCUUCACAAUCGACCGUCGCCUUCGCGUUCUCACCGCCGUCCACCGUUUUCACUGCCGUCCACCGUUCUUGUCACGGUUUGAAUUAUCAUUUCGUUCAAUUUUCUCAUCACAGUUCUACGAUUUCACAUCUUCAUUUUCACUGAGAACUUGCUCGCAGGUUUUAUUUCUAGAGCUGAGGAAAAUUGAAAAACUUGAAGAAGAAAAUGUGCUUGAAGUAAAUUGGUUGAUGGAAUUACCGAGGGAGGUGAUGGUGUGUAUGUUUAUUUUGGUUUCCCAGAACAGAGAGAUCUAUGCAACAACAGAAGAGCAUGUUAUCUUACAAACUAAUGAGGCCAAACAGCUACAAUUCCGGCUUGUCAGUUCUGGUUUCCCGGCAACGCGAAUCCGGGGGAUUAUUUCUUUGGAUCAGGGCUUGAGGGUCUGAUCCAGCAACUGGCUGAGAACGAUCCGAGUCGGCGCGAGACUCCUCCUGCGUUAAAAUCUUUAACUAGCUGAUUACAACAUAAGGUACUUUCAAAUUGACGCUGUCUCAAAUUUCUCUCUUCGGCCCUUUUAUCAGAAUCUUCUUUGGAGGAGUUCCACCAUACCCUUUGUACAACCGUCUUGCUUCAGCUCUAUUGAGGUAUAUGGAUUCCCAAGCAUUUUGUAGUACAAGCUGCAAUUUAGAAAUGUUGAACAAUGAAUUUGAGAAUUCUUCAAUGCAGCAAAAACACAAUCAAUGGCAGAAUUUAAUUCUGGACAAGGGGUCUGAAAUAGUCAAUGUAUUACUAGUGUUAUCUGAACUUUUAGAUUUCUGAUUAGGUUGGUUCCAAUGUAAAUAUAUAUAAUAGUUAUUUUAAUAUAUAA